rnacentral:rRNA from 1 species
AUUGAACGCUGGCGGCAGGCCUAACACAUGCAAGUCGAGCGGAUGAAGGGAGCUUGCUCCUGGAUUCAGCGGCGGACGGGUGAGUAAUGCCUAGGAAUCUGCCUGGUAGUGGGGGAUAACGUCCGGAAACGGGCGCUAAUACCGCAUACGUCCUGAGGGAGAAAGUGGGGGAUCUUCGGACCUCACGCUAUCAGGUGAGCCUAGGUCGGGUUAGCUAGUUGGUGGGGUAAAGGCCUACCAAGGCGACGAUCCGUAACUGGUCUGAGAGGAUGAUCAGUCACACUGGAACUGAGACACGGUCCAGACUCCUACGGGAGGCAGCAGUGGGGAAUAUUGGACAAUGGGCGAAAGCCUGAUCCAGCCAUGCCGCGUGUGUGAAGAAGGUCUUCGGAUUGUAAAGCACUUUAAGUUGGGAGGAAGGGCAGUAAGUUAAUACCUUGCUGUUUUGACGUUACCAACAGAAUAAGCACCGGCUAACUUCGUG